rnacentral:lncRNA from 1 species
CUGAUGCUACUGUUAGGUUUGUAAUUGUGGCGACCCCAAAUCCGGAUACUUGAAACCCGAACUCGGUUCUCCACGAUACCAUUUCUUUAAGCUGAAUAAUACUAAAUAAUAAUACAUUCGAACUUAAUUUACAUACAUCAAAGUUUACUUCCCCAGGUACGUGACCUUCAAAUACAUUCCUUACAAUAUCUGACAAUAGAUUCCAUUGUCUUACUAACUAUAACCAUUAACUCAUACUAAAUCUCAUUCGAAUAGCUUUUCUUUUCCCUUGUUCGUGCCUGAGCCUUCAGGUCGAUCGUACGUAACUGAAAACAUUUAGUUUAAGCAAGGAUGAGCAUUUGAGUGCCCAGCAAGUAAUAGCAAUUAUAUAUAUAAGCUGAAAGAAUAUAAGUAUUCUCUUUACAUAACACUUCUACAACGAAUCGAAAGUUGUGAAGUAAUCUGUACUGAUAAAAAAUUCACAUAACAACUCUCUUUCAAAUUCUUGAAAUUAGGCUCCACCCAUGAAUAGGGUUUAAGAAACAUACUAUGAACAUUGUUUUUCAUUUUCGAAAAGGUUUAGCAGAAAUUCAUCCGCAAACCGUCAUAACUUACGGGCACGGAGGGUGAUCAGCCCC